rnacentral:rRNA from 1 species
AGAGUUUGAUCCUGGCUCAGGAUGAACGCUGGCGGCGUGCUUAACACAUGCAAGUCGAACGAUGAAGCCACUUGUGGGUGGAUUAGUGGCGAACGGGUGAGUAACACGUGAGUAACCUGCCUUGACUCUGGGAUAAGCCUGGGAAACUGGGUCUAAUACCGGAUAUGACUGAUCAUCGCAUGGUGGUUGGUGGAAAGCUUUUGCGGUUUUGGAUGGACUCGCGGCCUAUCAGCUUGUUGGUGGGGUAAUGGCCUACCAAGGCGACGACGGGUAGCCGGCCUGAGAGGGUGACCGGCCACACUGGGACUGAGACACGGCCCAGACUCCUACGGGAGGCGGCAGUGGGGAAUAUUGCACAAUGGGCGAAAGCCUGAUGCAGCGACGCCGCGUGAGGGAUGACGGCCUUCGGGUUGUAAACCUCUUUCAGUAGGGAAGAAGCCGCAAGGUGACGGUACCUGCAGAAGAAGCGCCGGCUAACUACGUG